GAUGAACGCUAGCGGGAGGCCUAACACAUGCAAGCCGAGCGGUAUUUCUUCUUCGGGAGAGAGAGAGCGGCGUACGGGUGCGGAACACGUGUGCAACCUGACUUUAUCUAGAGGAUAGCCUGUCGAAAGGAAGAUUAAUACUAUAUAAUAUAUUAAUUGGCAUCAAUUGAUAUUGAAAACUCCUGUGGAGAGCGAGGGGCACGCGCAAGAUUAGCUAGUUGGUGAGGUAACGGUUCACCAAGGCAAUGAUCUUUAGGGGGCCUGAGAGGGUGGUCCCCCACACUGGUACUGAGACACUGACCAGACUCCUACGGGAGGCAGCAGUGAGGAAUAUUGGUCAAUGGGUGCAAGCCUGAACCAGCCAUCCCGCGUGAAGGAUUAAGGUCCUAUGGAUUGUAAACUUCUUUUGUAUAGGGAUAAACCUACCCUCGUGAGGGUAGCUGAAGGUACUAUACGAAUAAGCACCGGCUAACUCCGUGCCAGCCGCCGCAGUAAUAC
rnacentral:rRNA from 1 species